GGAAGUUCUCCACUGUGAAGCUGUGGGCUGAAGUGAAACAUCCCAGGGAGACAUGUUGGAAGCCCUCCCACAGGCUGUCCACCUAAGGAAAGCACUGUUCUGAGGUGCUGACUAUCUAGAUGAUGGUGUCCCAUACUUGCAAACGUGCUGGCAGCCAGGAACACCUCUCAGCCUGUUUGGUUCCUCUGCUGGCACUUCCCGUUCGGUUGAAGUCUCCAGGGUGAGGCUUCGUGCUCUCUCUCAGGCUCUUGGACUGGGAGCUUCUACAGUAGCUGUGAGCAGCACACACUCACUGAGCCCCAGAAGUGUGGCCAGUGGUGUGCAGGAGCCAGACUUUCAAUCUUGUUAAGUUUUAAUUUAUUCAAAUUUUUAUUCAGUCCUUAACUCUGCUUUUAGUCAUUUGAGUAUGUGAACCUUCUCUUCAGCCCUCCGUGUUGUGGUACCGUAAAUGUAAUUCAGCUCUGCACGAUGAAGGUCUGUUAUGUCGGCUGAGGUUAUUGCCAGUGUAAAACCACCACAUCCUGAAGACCUGUAUGAAGAGUUAAAAAACUCAAUUCGCAUAUGGAUAACUUGUUGAAAUGGCAACAUUUUAAAUAUAC
rnacentral:lncRNA from 1 species